UCCACUGCGGGCCGCGGUCUAUCGCAUCGGAAUGGAGUUCGUGGAAGAUGAGGCACGGCCGCGUUUCCUCUUCCGAGGUGGCGGCGCGGCCCCCUCUGCCGCCGGUGACCCGGACGCCGGAACUCUAAAGGUCCACAAGCUGCACGCGGCCGCCUGCCUCUCCGCCGCCUCCCUCCUCGUCUUCGCCGCCGUCUCCCUCUCGCACUGGCAAACCCUCUCCUCCUUCCUCGCCUGGGCCUCUCUCUCCCUCCUCCUCGCCCCCUUUGCUCCGCCCUCCGCCACCGGUGGCGACCCUCGCGUCGGCCGCGGCCCCGUCCUCCCCGACCCCCCCGCCACCCCCAUCGCCCCUUCUGAACCCGACGAGCCUCGGAAGCGGAACCUCGGCCGCCGCCCCAGAUCUCAGCCUCUACCGUCGCCGUCCGGUCCUCCUUCGUCUUCGGUCGUUUCCAGUCCUCCAAUCUCCCAGAAGCCAGAGGAGAGAAGUGGCGAUACGAACUCUAAUGGCAGCGGAUCGGCCAAGGAAGUGGAGGCAGAAAAGGAGUGGACUGAUGAGGAUUUCGAGCUUCUAAAGAGGCAGAUCUCAAAGCAUCCGGUCGGCGAGCCAAGGCGGUGGGAGAGGAUCGCUGAAGCCUUCCGAGGGCGGCAUGGAUUGGAUAGUAUCAUCAAGACUGCCAAAUCCCUGUCGGAGAGGAAGCCUGCAGCUGGGGAUUCUUUCCAGCAAUUUUUGAAGCAGAGGAAGCCAUUGGACAAGCGAGUGGACGCCAAUGUUGGGGACUCAAAAGAUGAAAUUUUGGCAGAGAAUGGUGAAUUAGGGAAGGAGGGUGGGGGAGGGAGUGGGAGCUGGAGUGCUGGAGAGGAUCUUGCACUGCUUAAUGCACUCAAGGCAUUCCCCAAGGAUGUGUCAAUGAGGUGGGAGAAGAUAGCAGCGGCGGUGCCAGGGAAGUCGAAGGCUUGCUGUAUGAAGAGAGUUGCAGAGUUGAAGAGGGACUUUCGGAGCUCGAAAGCUUCUGAAACAUAGAGAAUUGCUUUGAUUUGGUCUGGUAUGGAGGCGUCAAUGAGAAGAAAGCAAAAGUAAGAAGAAGACAGUGUUGCCUCCACAUUUUGGGCUUCCUUCACUGUCCCAGUCACAAGAGUUGAAUAGGAAAAAUCCUUAAAGGGAAACAACAAUUCAUGCUCUUCACCUUCAGGCUUUCUAUUCAAUUUAUGUACAAGAAAUUCAAACCAUAUCAUUAGCAGUAUGUUGUUUCCAUAUUGCAUCAGUUGAUCCUGUGGGUUAAUAAUCUGUGACAGAGGGACAACUCUCAGGUCGAAUUGAAAUUAAGCCCCUCAUAUUUGCCCUCCACGACUCAAGGAUAAGGUGGUCUAAUCUACUUCUGGUAUAUGGUAUUUCAUGGCAACAGAUUAAAAGUUCAUGACACAUCCUAAAGCACCUUCAAUUGACUUAGUUUGGCAUCCUAUCGGCCACACUAUACAUGCUACAGCUUGUACAUGAAACUCUGAUUCAGGGUACAAAUUAUAGGCUAUAGAGUAGACCACAAGGGUUUUGUUUCUUCCUGUGCAAGCAAUCUAGUUGGCAUGGAAGGAAGAAGAGGAUAUUUUCAGUUAGUCCAUGGUUUACUUGCAAGAAUAUGGUUGAAACUUGGGCUACGGAGUUUAGUCUUAGGUUAGGCAUAAAAUUUGAUCAGUGUGUUUUGCAAAUUUAUUCAUGUUAUUAAUAAUAAAAUGGUAAAGUGUAUUUUUUUUUCUUGAAAACUUCCUACCGGUAGUUAAAAUCCUCUCUGAAUGAGUAUAAAUUAAAUUAUUUUUUGGAAAAUGUUUAAAACUGAUGAUUAUGACCCAAGCUCAAAAAGAUCUGAACCCAGUGCAAACACAAUGCAUACAAGACUUAGAGAGGUGCGGGAUCUUUUUCUUUUAACGAAUCACCCUCAGUCAUGGCUGGGGGUUUUACAGAAUGAAUUUGGGCUCUAUCUAAAAAAUUUAACAAAGCCACAAUGUUUAUAAAUUUGGGUAGAGGUCAAGCCUGACCAGAUCUGAGCCCAAAUUCUAGGCUAAUGUUAAUAACUUCAACCUAAAAGCACAAAGUUGGACCAUCAGCUAUUUUUGUCAGUUUAUGUAAAUGAUUGCAAGAAAUGAUAUAUAAAUUCUACAAGGAAUUAAUAGGAAAAUAAAGAGAAGAAUAUUAUAAUGCAGAAAUAGUGCUAUUUCAAACAAGUUCCCUUAUUGUUUCCCCCGUUUUAAUCAUGUUUCCUGGGUGUUAUGUAUCCUGACAUGAAACUAUUCAAAUCCUAGUGCAAGAUCUCCAAAAACAAAUUUUAUGGUAACACACGGUUGGCUCUGGGUCCAAAUCCUCAACUUAAUCCAGUCCAACCAUCUGAGGUACAAAAGAG